rnacentral:rRNA from 1 species
AAAAGGACUUUGAAAAGAGAGUUAAAAAGUGCUUGAAAUUGCUGGGAGGGAAGCGAAUGGAUGCCUUUGUUGCCCGCUGGUUGUGUGCGGAACGGCGUAAAAGCUGGUCUGUCAACCAACUCAGCGGGCUCGCUAGUGUGGGGGUGGAUGCCUGGACAAAGAUCCCGGGCUUUCUGUUCGGGAUUGAUGCUGGUGUCCACUCUGUGGCCUUGGGUGUGCGCCUUUCUGGCGGGUUUGUUUACCCUGCACGCCCGGGACGCUGGUGGCUUUUGGUUUUUCAUUCGACCCGUCUUGAAACACGGACCAAGGAGUCUAACAUGUAUGCGAGCCUGCGGGUUUGACACCUCGCUAGGCGUAAGGAAACUGAUGCGUGGGAUCCCCUUUGUGGGUGCACCACCGACCGACCAUGAGCUUCUGCGAAAGGUUCGAGUUGAAGCAUACCUGCUGGGACCCGAAAGAUGGUGAACUAUGCCUGAGCAGGGCGAAGCCAGAGGAAACUCUGGUGGAGGCUCGUAGCGAUACUGACGUGCAAAUCGUUCGUCAGACUUGGGUAUAGGGGCGAAAGACUAAUCGAACCAUCUAGUAGCUGGUUCCCUCCGAAGUAUCCCUCAGGAUAGCUGGAGCUCAUAUUGAGAGUUUUAUCAGGUAAAGCGAAUGAUUAGAGGCAUUGGGGGUGAAACACCCUCGACCUAUUCUCAAACUUUAAAUAGGUAAGGUGUCGGGGUUGCUCCGGUGAACCCCGA